UGUUCUCAGACUAGAUCUGGGAAAAAUUCAAACUGUGUGCCAUGCUGGUUCUUAGAAGAAUUUUGCUAUUUCAUCUAACUUGAAUAAAAGAUAUGUUGAAAACCCCUGAAGGGACAGGAAGAUCUUCAGAACACUCAUUCAUCCUUCAUCAAUUAUGGUAAAAGAUCUGACCACUGACUACUGAAAUACUGCAGAGCCUCAGCAUUGUUGGCUGGAAGAGGCUCAAAGACAUUCACUAAUUUUAACAUUAGUUAUAGGUUUGGGGCAGUCAUAGCUGCUGUGUGUUUAGUGGUCAGCAUAAACUCUUCAGCAAAGGUAUUUUCAAAGGAGGUGAUGUUGAGAAUGAUAGUUACUGUUGUCUGAGCCAAGAGCUGCUUCCAGAGGAGCACACUGAAACACUGAAAGAGUGCCUCAUUGUCUGCAUUUGCCUGGGCAGUUGAAACUCUCAAGUAGCUUCUGCUGGGGAUUGCUGUGCUUAUUCUGCCUAUACUGCCUUGAUAAAAAUUAUGGCAGUGCUUUAUUUAUAACCUGUCUCUGCUUCUGGACUACCCAAGCAAUUGUUGCCUUUUCUCAGGAAAUCAUAAGACUUACAGCUGGUGAAGCGCCUUGUUUCUUGGAGAGGUGAAUAGUGAUGAAAAAGAUGGAGGAGUUUUACAAUAGUACUUAAACACCUACAAAAGCAGCUGCCUUAUCAUUGUUUCCUUAACAAUCAUUAACGUACCAGGGAUCAACUAGAAUAAAUCCAAGCUGAAAGAUAUAAAUAGCCCCUUAGAUGCAGUCUGGUGUGAAAUAAGACUUACAAGGGCUAGCAGGAGCAGCAGGCUUUGCUCUUCCCUGUCUCA